rnacentral:rRNA from 1 species
AUUGAACGCUGGCGGCAGGCUUAACACAUGCAAGUCGAGCGAGCGGCGGACGGGUGAGUAAUGUCUGGGAAACUGCCUGAUGGAGGGGGAUAACUACUGGAAACGGUAGCUAAUACCGCAUACCAUCAGAUGUGCCCAGAUGGGAUUAGCUAGUAGGUGGGGUAAUGGCUCACCUAGGCGACGAUCCCUAGCUGGUCUGAGAGGAUGACCAGCCACACGGGACCUGAGACACGGUCCAGACUCCAAGGGGAGGCAGCAGUGGGGAAUAUUGCACAAGGGGCGCAAGCCUGAGGCAGCCAUGCCGGGUGUAGAAAGAAGGCCUUCGGGUUGUAAAGCACUUUCAGCGGGGAGGCGUUACCCGCAGAAGAAGCACCGGCUAACUCCGUGCCAGCAGCCGCGGUAAUUC